CUAAGAAUCUUCCGCAAUGGGCGCAAGCCUGACGGAGCGACGCCGCGUGGACGAUGAAGGCCGUAAGGUUGUAAAGUCCUUUUCUCUGUGAGGAAUGAGUGUGGGAGUGGAAAGCCCACAUGAUGACGGUAACGGAGGAAUAAGCACCGGCUAACUACGUGCCAGCAGCCGCGGUAAUACGGAGGGGGCUAGCGUUAUUCGGAAUCAUUGGGCGUAAAGGGCGUGUAGGCGGCUUCGUGUGUCCCGUGUGAAAGCCCUCGGCUCAACCGAGGAAUUGCAUGGGAAACUGCGGAGCUUGAGUCCGGGAGAGGAGAGUGGAAUUCCCAGUGUAGCGGUGAAAUGCGUAGAUACUGGGAGGAACACCGGUGGCGAAGGCGGCCAACUGGACGAACACUGACGCUGAGACACGAAAGCGUGGGGAGCAAACAGGAUUAGAUACCCUGGUAGUCCACGCCGUAAACGAUGGGUGCUAGGUGUCACGGGCAUUGACUCCUGUGGUGCCGAAGCCAACGCAUUAAGCACCCCGCCUGGGAAGUACGGCCGCAAGGCUA
rnacentral:rRNA from 1 species